rnacentral:rRNA from 1 species
AUCAACUUUCGAUGGUAGGAUAGAGGCCUACCAUGGUGGUAACGGGUAACGGGGUGUUAGGGCACGACACCGGAGAGGGGGCCUGAGAAACGGCUACCACAUCCAAGGAUGGCAGCAGGCGCGCAAAUUACCCAAUCCCGACACGGGGAGGUAGUGACAAUAAAUAACAAUACGGGGUUCUUUCGGAUCUCGUAAUUGGAAUGAGUACAAUUUAAAUCUCUUAACGAGGAACAAUUGGAGGGCAAGUCUGGUGCCAGCAGCCGCGGUAAUUCCAGCUCCAAUAGCGUAUAUUAAAGUUGCUGCAGUUAAAAAGCUCGUAGUUGAAUUUCGGGGUUAGUAGGUUGGUCAUGCCUCUGGUAUGUACUGGUCUCACUGAUUCCUCCUUCCUGAUGAACCGUAAUGCCAUUAAUUUGGUGUUGCGGGGGAUUUGGACUGUUACUUUGAAAAAAUUAGAGUGUUUAAAGCAGGCUAACGCUUGAAUACAUUAGCAUGGAAUAAUGAAAUAGGACGUUCGAUCCUAUUUUGUUGGUUUCUAGGAUUGACGUAAUGAUUAAUAGGGAUAGUUGGGGGCAUUAGUAUUCAAUUGUCAGAGGUGAAAUUCUUGGAUUUA